CGCAGCCCCGCCGGUGGGCUUUUAAAAGCCCGCGAGGCGGUGCGGGGGCUCCCAGGACCCGCGCGCCGCCUCGCCCGCCUCGUCAACUCCCUGCCGCCGCCGCCGCCACCAUGCUCUCUGUCCGCGUCCCGCUCGCCACCAUCGUGGACCCGCAGCAGCCGCAGCAGCAGCUUCAGCUCUCGCCCUUGAAGGGGCUCAGCCUGGCGGACAAGGAGAACACGCCCCCGGCCCUCAGCGGGAGCCGCGUGCUGGCCAGCAAGACCGCCCGGAGGAUCUUCCAGGAGCCCGCCGAGCCGAAAACUAAGGUGCUUGUCCCCAGCGUGGAGGAUGAGCCACUGCUCCGAGAAAACCCUCGUCGCUUUGUCAUCUUUCCUAUCGAGUACCAUGAUAUUUGGCAGAUGUAUAAGAAAGCGGAGGCUUCCUUCUGGACCGCCGAAGAGGUGGAUCUUUCCAAGGACAUUCAGCACUGGGAGUCCCUGAAGGCAGAGGAGAGAUAUUUUAUAUCGCAUGUUCUGGCUUUCUUUGCAGCGAGUGAUGGCAUAGUAAAUGAGAACUUGGUGGAGCGGUUUAGCCAAGAAGUUCAGAUUACUGAAGCCCGCUGUUUCUAUGGCUUCCAAAUUGCCAUGGAAAACAUCCAUUCUGAGAUGUAUAGUCUCCUCAUUGACACUUACAUUAAAGAUCCCAGAGAGAGGGAAUUUCUCUUCAACGCCAUCGAGACGAUGCCUUGUGUAAAGAAGAAGGCGGAUUGGGCCUUGCGUUGGAUUGGGGACAAAGAGUCUACCUAUGGAGAGCGGGUUGUGGCCUUUGCUGCAGUGGAAGGAAUCUUCUUUUCUGGUUCUUUCGCGUCGAUAUUCUGGCUCAAGAAACGCGGCCUGAUGCCUGGCCUCACGUUUUCCAAUGAACUGAUUAGCAGAGAUGAGGGUCUACACUGUGACUUUGCCUGCCUGAUGUUCAAACACCUGGUCCACAAACCUUCAGAGCAGAGAGUGAAGGAAAUUAUUAUCAAUGCCGUUAGGAUAGAACAGGAAUUCCUCACGGAGGCCUUGCCAGUGAAACUAAUUGGGAUGAAUUGCACUUUAAUGAAGCAGUAUAUUGAAUUCGUGGCAGACAGACUUAUGCUGGAGCUAGGUUUUGGCAAGGUGCCGGGAGACAACAAAGCACAAGGCGGAGGAAGCCCAGGCCCUCGCGGAGAUCGUGCACUGGUGGGCGACGCGGAAACCCAGCCAAGUAACCGCCGUGCGAGUUGAUGUAUGACGUCAUGUUAGAUUCAGGGGUGCAACACAGCGAUUGGGAAAUCGCGUCCGUUUCUCAGGGCCUCCUCAGUGGUCACCCGUCGUCACCACGAGCGCAUGGCUUCCCCGUCCUUCCUUUCUGCACGGAAGGCCACCAAUUUCCCGGCAGAGCGGGCUCUGUUUCUCAUUGGCUGGUGGACUCGGAGAAGGCGGGACUCUUCAUACAGGCUCUUCUGCCUUUCCUGCCUUUUCCUAAGAGAGGCCAAGUUCAGUGAUGCCAGGAACGCAGAUGUUCUUGCGGUUGGGUCUCCCUGAUCAGCACAGGCCUGGUGUUUUGCUGUCUUUUAAUCGCGAGGCUUACAGGUCACAAACAGCCUCCGCUCCCUUCAUCUCCCCAAACUGGGUAAUCACAACACAGCUUUAACUUGCUUCCAAUCCAAUACCCCUCUCUGCUAACAAUAUAUGCAGCCAGCUUGCCUGGGAACAGGGCGACCGGCCUGAGCAGGUCGACGGGGACUAUCCCAGGCUUAGUACCGAAAAGCCCGGUGUUGUGGGAACCCUCAGACCGGGCUAACUGGGACAGCUGCUCAUCUCAACUGGGAGGCUCCCACUUGGGGAUGUUCGGCUACUCCUGGGGUUGGCUGCAGACGGGGGGAACGGGGGGACCCAGACGGGAGGGCCGGGUGGGAAGGUUUGGACGUGGCUGGAGUAGGAGACACGAGCCCUCUCUGCCUCCCAGAACGGACCCCAGCCCGGUAACGCCGCUGUCCCUGCCCCAAGGUCAGUGCUGAGCAUCUCACGUCCUGGUGCUGCGAGGACCUUAGUGAGCGUCUCAUCUUUCCACUUCUCUUAUAGAUGGGGAAACCGAGCCGGGAAGGGGAGGCUUUCCCAAAUAAUAACAAUGCCAACUCAGCUUUACGGGUAUCAGGGUAGCACAGAUGUCCAGAGAAGACAUCUGGGUGUUAACCCCGUCUCUACCGUGAGGACCAGGGUGGAGAUGACCAGUGUGGUCAGAGGGGACCAGGCAAAGCCCACUGGACAAAUGGCCAAGUUGUCAAACUUCUAACGUUUAGAGCAAACUGUGCAGGAUGGGAUAGAUUUGGAAGGUUUCUGUGACGUUUUGUUGACCAAUAAUUAUUUUUCCUUUGUGCCAGUAUUUUAACAAAUGUUUUGGAGGAAAGACAGAGAGGAAUCAGUACGUCAGUAUGCAGCUGCUAACCUUGGCUGCUGACUCCUGGACGAGAGAGAGAGAGAGAGAGAGAGGAAUGGGGAGUGAGAGACACAGGGGUGGGGAAGGCUGAGGGCAUUAGUUCAUUAAUCUACUCUUCUCAUAAAGAGAGCCGUGUUCAGAAAACUAUUCUUUAAAAAUUCUGGAAUGCAUUGACUAUAUGCUUUUAGAAAGCUUCCUUAUGCUGGGAAAUUUCAAACACACACAAACAGAAUAAUAUAAUGAGCCUGACGCACCAUUCUUUUCAACAGGGAUCAAUAUGUAACCAGUCCUGUGUCAUCUCUGUCCCCACGCUUUGUCUCCUCUCCCCAAGCACGGAUUGUUAAGCAACUCCAGCCGUUCGUGUCUUCUGUAAAUAUGACUGUUCUCAAGUAUACCAAAUACGUUCCUGAAAAUACCUUUCUUGGGGUGGAAAAAUUCCUGCCAGUAUACAUUCCCACGUCCCUGAGUCUCCCCUUCCCUGCUUUUCAGCCCCCCUGUCUAUCUCCUCCCUCAUCCCUCACCCUUCACCCUCCCCUCUCUGUCCUCAGCGUCCCCCUAACCUGACCGGCGGUCUCUCCUUCCGGGGGUGGGCAGUCCAGGCUGACUCUCCCCCCCCCCCCGACCGUUUCCUCCAUCUGAAGCAGUGGGGAGCUGGACAGAGCAAGUUCAACACACCUAGAAUGUUCCGCGGUCAAGUACAGAAGAGUUAGCCUACACUUGGCAGAAAUCUUCAAAAUCUUAAAAAAGAAAAUCCCACCUGUUAUGAAUCACUAUAAAGCUGUAAGUCAUUAGAA